GGUCAGAGUAGAAGCGUUCAGCAUAUAUAGUCGAUUCGACAUAUAUGUGGGUCAUUGCUCAGAAA
ncrna:Acinetobacter sp. NIPH 298 NMT1 RNA